AACGUAGGAGACAAACGUUAUCCGGAGUUACUGGGCGUAAAGGGCGUGUAGGCGGACUGUUAAGUCUGGCGUGAAAGCUCCCGGCUAAACCGGGAGAGGUCGUUGGAUACUGGCAGACUAGAGGGUGGUGGAGGCGUGUGGAAUUCCGGGUGUAGUGGUGAAAUGCGUAGAGAUCCGGAGGAACACCAGUGGCGAAGGCGACACGCUGGGCCAUACCUGACGCUAAAGCGCGACAGCAUGGGGAGCAAACGGG
rnacentral:rRNA from 1 species